rnacentral:rRNA from 1 species
UACGGAGGGUGCGAGCGUUGUCCGGAAUCAUUGGGCGUAAAGGGCGCGUAGGUGGCCCGGUCAGUUCGUGGUGAAAGCGCGGGGCUCAACCCUGCGUCGGCCAUGAAUACUGCCGCGGCUGGAGCACUGUAGAGGCAGGUGGAAUUGCCGGUGUAGUGGUGAAAUGCGUAGAGAUCGGCAGGAACACCCAGGGGGAAACCAGCCGACUGGGCAGCUGCUGACGCUGAGGUGCGAGAGCGUGGGGAGCGAACCGG